UUAUGCAUAUAAAUUAAUAUAAAUUAAAUAUUUCAUAAUUUUUAUGGUAAAUUUAUUUUUAUUAGAAAUAUUUAAUUUACUUUAAUUUUAUGUCAUUUUUUUUUAGAUUUGAGUUGUAAAUGAAAUGUUGGCAUUCUUGAAGUUAAAAGCCCAACUAAAGAAGUGGUAUUCUUGCAGAUAGAAAGAUUUCAAAUUAUUUUUGCCCAAAUUCAAGCUCAAAGGCUUGAUUCAAUGCUAAACAUUAAGACCAAGCCCAACAGAUAUAUAUAUAUAUAUAUGUGCAAGAAGUGGUCCAAAUUAAAUCAUGGCCGAACCCACACGUCAGCUCUCUCUCCCAACAAGACUGGCGCACGAUUCCCACUACAGCAGUCCAACUCUUCCAUUGCGCCACCUGUCCGCAUUAUUCUAUUUUGUCCCCCACUUUUCUCAGCUUUUUGUGCCAUUUAUUCCACUAAAUAGUACACGAAAAAUACCAUUUUGGAGAGCCAACUUUCACUAUAAAUUGCACCAUUUUGCAUUGUAAAAACAUCAGAUUUUACCUAGAGUUAUUAUACCAAAAUUUUAUCUUUUUCUUUCCUUCUUCUUUAUUUUACGUUAUUAAUUUUGGUGUAAAGACAAUGCCUUUUCUAGGCUAAUUUCUUUGGCAAGACUCAAGUGUAAGUUCAUGCAAUUUUUAUUCUUCUAAUAUAUUGAUUCUCUUUGUUCUUCA